rnacentral:rRNA from 1 species
UACGGAGGGUGCAAGCGUUAUCCGGAUUCACUGGGUUUAAAGGGUGCGUAGGAGGGCAGGUAAGUCAGUGGUGAAAUCUUCGAGCUUAACUCGGAAACUGCCGUUGAUACUAUCUGUCUUGAAUACCGUGGAGGUGAGCGGAAUAUGUCAUGUAGCGGUGAAAUGCUUAGAUAUGACAUAGAACACCAAUUGCGAAGGCAGCGCGCUACACGAAUAUUGACUCUGAGGCACGAAAGCGUGGGGAUCAAACAGG